CCCCUCGCUCCACCUCCCGCGUAGCCUGCGGGCCCCUGGCGGCCCAGGGCAUGGGGCAGAGACGCCAUGCCGGCUGAUACACACGCCCGGAGGAGGUGAGGGAGGAAGCCACUUGAAAAUAAACAGGUGCGGCCGGCGGGGGACAGGGAAAGAGAUCACAGCGAAGACCCAGAAGAAACAAAAGGCAAGCGAAUGUAAGAGCUUCACCACCUUCCCACUCCAGGACGGUGGACAACAAGAGGUUUGAAAGCUGUGAUGUCCUCACUGUCUUCCGUCCCUCUCACGGAAUGAAAAGUCGUUUUUGCCAGAAUAUUAUACCUGCAAGAUCUCACGGGGAGGAGACUGCAGCCCACCCGCUGGAGAUUUUUGCCUACAGAAAGCUUCCCUUUUUUUCCAACCCAAAGACAGACUUUUAUAGCCUCUCCAACUCCCCUUGAAUUUUUAAGAGAGAGAAAGAAAAGCCCCAAAGUGAAAGAUAGUGGUCAUUUAUGCCUUGGAAAGAUAAAUGGGUGUUUUAGUUUUGUUUUUAAAUGAAUUUUCCUUUUCUAAAGAAUUUCUUUCAAAAAAUUAGUGGGAGUUGAGGUGAGGCAUGUGUUUUAUAUUUUUAUAUCCACUUUAGUAGGUUUUAAUAUAACGUCUUGAGUCCCUUUUGAAUUUCUUUAUGACCCAGGUCAAGCUGCCCUGAUUCAGGUUCCACGCAGCUAAAAAUUAAAUUGUAGCUUCCAUCCAUGUCACAAAUAUGUAAGCUGGGGAGGUAACCUACUAUCAGGCCAUAUUUACAGAAUGGCUAAAAAACUAAGCUAAACUUCUCGAAGAUGUCAAUACCUAAGUGUCUUUGGGAUACUUCCUGAAACUACCUGUGAGAAUCUGUUCAUUUUUUCUUUUAAUUAGGACUUUAUUUUACUGAAAAAAAAAAAACUUGAAUGAAGAGAGCCAAAGUACAUGGUGAUGUGAGUGUGAGUCAUGGAACUUGUUCUUUUUUCUGAAUAAUUAUUUCACUUAAGAAGACAUCCAGAUACAUCCAGAUAAUUUGACUAUUUGCCGACCUCUUGGAUGUACCAUAGAUUCUUAUGCAUUGGAUCCUUGAAGACUUAACGCUUCAGGAUGGCAUGCUGGGCACACAAGUUCACUUCCCCCUUGCAAAGCCACAUGACAUUUACGGUAAAGAAAUAAGGCAGAAAUAAAGCCAUGACACUACUGUGACCAGAAGGAAGGCCAUCCGAGAGAAAUAUACUUUUGUGAAGUUCUUGGCAAGAAGAAAGAGGAGAGGACCAGGCCGGGCGCGGUAGCUCACGCCUGUAGUCCCAGCACUUUGGGACAAGGCGGGUGGAUUACAAGGUCAGGAGAUCGAGACCAUCCUUGCUAACACGGUGAAACCCCGUCUCUACUAAAAGUACGAAAAAUUAGCCGGGCGUGGUGGUGGGCGCC
ensembl:lncRNA novel transcript